AUUGAACGCUGGCGGCAGGCCUAACACAUGCAAGUCGAGCGGAGCGGGGGACGGGCGGGUAAGGACUAGGUGUGUGCCUGGUAGUGGGGGAGGACGUCCGGCAACGAGCGCUAACACCGCAUGCUCGCUAAUGAGCCUAGGUCGGAUUGGCUAGUUGGUGGGGUAAGGGCUUACCAAGGCGACGAUCCGUAACUGGUCUGAGAGGAUGAUCAGUCACACUGGAACUGAGACACGGUCCAGACUCCUACGGGAGGCAGCAGUGGGGAAUAUUGCACAAUGGGCGAAAGCCUGAUGCAGCCAUGCCGCGUGUGUGAAGAAGGUCUUAGGAUUGUAAAGUACUUUCAGUUGGGAGGCGUUACCAACAGAAGAAGCACCGGCUAACUUCGUGCCAGCAGCCGCGGUAAUUC
rnacentral:rRNA from 1 species